GAUGAACGCUGGCGGCGUGCCUAAUACAUGCAAGUCGAGCGAACAGACGAGGAGCUUGCUCCUCUGACGUUAGCGGCGGACGGGUGAGUAACACGUGGAUAACCUACCUAUAAUACUGGGAUAACUUCGGGAAACCGGAGCUAAUACCGGAUAAUAUAUUGAACCGCAUGGUUCAAUAGUGAAAGACGGUUUUGCUGUCACUUAUAGAUGGAUCCGCGCCGCAUUAGCUAGUUGGUAAGGUAACGGCUUACCAAGGCAACGAUGCGUAGCCGACCUGAGAGGGUGAUCGGCCACACUGGAACUGAGACACGGUCCAGACUCCUACGGGAGGCAGCAGUAGGGAAUCUUCCGCAAUGGGCGAAAGCCUGACGGAGCAACGCCGCGUGAGUGAUGAAGGUCUUCGGAUCGUAAAACUCUGUUAUUAGGGAAGAACAACUGUGUAAGUAACUAUGCACGUCUUGACGGUACCUAAUCAGAAAGCCACGGCUAACUACGUG
rnacentral:rRNA from 1 species